AUUGAACGCUGGCGGCAGGCCUAACACAUGCAAGUCGGACGAGCGGAGGACGGGUGAGUAAUGUAUGGGGAUCUGCCCGAUGGAGGGGGAUAACUACUGGAAAAGGUAGCUAAUACCGCAUACACUCAGAUGAACCAAGAUGGGAUUAGAUUGUAGUUAGGGUAACGGCUUACCUAGGCGACGAUCCCUAGCUGGUCUGAGAGGAUGAUCAGCCACACUGGGACUGAGACACGGCCCAGACUCCUACGGGAGGCAGCAGUGGGGAAUAUUGCACAAUGGGCGCAAGCCUGAUGCAGCCAUGCCGCGUGUAUGAAGAAGGCCUUCGGGUUGUAAAGUACUUUCAGUCGGUAGGCGUUACCGACAGAAGAAGCACCGGCUAACUCCGUGCCAGCAGCCGCGGUAAUUC
rnacentral:rRNA from 1 species